rnacentral:rRNA from 1 species
GACGAACGCUGGCGGCGUGCUUAACACAUGCAAGUCGAACGGAAAGGCCCUGCUUUUGUGGGGUGCUCGAGUGGCGAACGGGUGAGUAACACGUGAGUAACCUGCCCUUGACUUUGGGAUAACUUCAGGAAACUGGGGCUAAUACCGGAUAGGAGCUCCUGCUGCAUGGUGGGGGUUGGAAAGUUUCGGCUGUUGGGGAUGGACUCGCGGCUUAUCAGCUUGUUGGUGGGGUGGUGGCUUACCAAGGGUUUGACGGGUAGCCGGCCUGAGAGGGUGGCCGGCGACAUUGGGACUGAGAUACGGCCCAGACUCCUACGGGAGGCAGCAGUGGGGAAUAUUGCACAAUGGGCGGAAGCCUGAUGCAGCAACGCCGCGUGCGGGAUGACGGCCUUCGGGUUGUAAACCGCUUUCGCCUGUGACGAAGCGUGAGUGACGGUAAUGGGUAAAGAAGCACCGGCUAACUACGUG